rnacentral:rRNA from 1 species
GGUUACUGCUACCGGUGUUCGCCUAAGCCAUGCGAGUCAUAUGUUCGUAAGAACAUGGCGUACUGCUCAGUAACACGUGGAUAACCUGCCCUUGGGUCCGGCAUAACCCCGGGAAACUGGGGAUAAUUCCGGAUAACGCACAUAUGCUGGAAUGCUUUAUGCGUAAAAUGGAUUCGUCUGCCCAAGGAUGGGUCUGCGGCCUAUCAGGUAGUAGUGGGUGUAAUGUACCUACUAGCCUACGACGGGUACGGGUUGUGAGAGCAAGAGCCCGGAGAUGGAUUCUGAGACAUGAAUCCAGGCCCUACGGGGCGCAGCAGGCGCGAAAACUUUACGAUGCGGGAAACCGUGAUAAGGGGACACCGAGUGCCAGCAUCCUAUGCUGGCUGUCCGGGUGUGUAAAAUACACCUGUUAGCAAGGGCCGGGCAAGACCGGUGCCAGCCGCCGCGGUAACACCGGCGGCCCGAGUGGUGAUCGUGAUUAUUGGGUCUAAAGGGUCCGUAGCCGGUUUGGUCAGUCCUCCGGGAAGUCUGACGGCUUAACCGUUAGGCUUUCGGGGGAUACUGCCAGACUUGGAACCGGGAGAGGUAAGAGGUACUACAGGGGUAGGAGUGAAAUCUUGUAAUCCCUGUGGGACCACCUGUGGCGAAGGCGUCUUACCAGAACGGGUUCGACGGUGAGGGACGAAAGCUGGGGGCGCGAACCGGAUUAGAUACCCGGGUAGUCCCAGCCGUAAACGAUGCUCGCUAGGUGUCAGGCAUGGCGCGACCGUGUCUGGUGCCGCAGGGAAGCCGUGAAGCGAGCCACCUGGGAAGUACGGCCGCAAGGCUGAAACUUAA